rfam:Pygoscelis adeliae contig27001, whole genome shotgun sequence.
CACACUUUAGUGAAGACUACAUAGAAAACCUCUGAGGUGUAUGGAAGUCAGAUGUCAGGUGUG